rnacentral:rRNA from 1 species
GGCGGACGGGUGAGUAACGCGUAAGAACCUACCCCAAACUGAGGGAUAAGCCCUGGAAACAGGGUCUAAUACCGCAUAGUCUCUACGUGAGUAAAGCUACGGCGGUUUGGGAAGGGCUUGCGUAUGAUUAGCUAGUUGGUAGGGUAAUGGCCUACCAAGGCGACGAUCAUUAGCUGUUCUGAGAGGAUGAUCAGGCACACGGGGACUGAGACACGGCCCCGACUCCUACGGGAGGCAGCAGUAGGGAAUUUUCCACAAUGGGGCAACCCUGAUGGAGCGACGCCGCGUGCAGGAUGAAGGCCUUUGGGUUGUAAACUGCUUUUAUCUGUGACGAAUAUGACGGUAGCAGAUGAAUAAGGGUCGGCUAACUACGUGCCAGCCGCCGCGG